rnacentral:rRNA from 1 species
AUUGAACGCUGGCGGCAGGCCUAACACAUGCAAGUCGAGCGGAUGAGGAGAGCUUGCUCUCUGAUUUAGCGGCGGACGGGUGAGUAAUGCCUAGGAAUCUGCCUGGUAGUGGGGGAUAGCGUUCCGAAAGGAACGCUAAUACCGCAUACGUCCUACGGGAGAAAGCAGAGGACCUUCGGGCCUUGCGCUAUCAGAUGAGCCUAGGUCGGAUUAGCUAGUUGGUGAGGUAAUGGCUCACCAAGGCGACGAUCCGUAACUGGUCUGAGAGGAUGAUCAGUCACACUGGAACUGGGACACGGUCCAGACUCCUACGGGAGGCAGCAGUGGGGAAUAUUGGACAAUGGGCGAAAGCCUGAUCCAGCCAUGCCGCGUGUGUGAAGAAGGUCUUCGGAUUGUAAAGCACUUUAAGUUGGGAGGAAGGGUUGUAGAUUAAUACUCUGCAAUUUUGACGUUACCAACAGAAUAAGCACCGGCUAACUUCGUGCCAGCCGCCGCCGUAAAAC